UGGGGAAUCUUGGACAAUGGGCGCAAGCCUGAUCCAGCCAUGCCGCGUGGAUGAUGAAGGCCUUAGGGUUGUAAAAUCCUUUCGUUGGGGACGAUAAUGACGGUACCCAAAGAAGAAGCUCCGGCUAACUUCGUGCCAGCAGCCGCGGUAAUACGAAGGGGGCUAGCGUUGUUCGGAUUUACUGGGCGUAAAGCGCGUGUAGGCGGAUUUGUAAGUUGGGGGUGAAAUCCCGAGGCUCAACCUCGGAACUGCCUCCAAAACUACAAGUCUGGACCUAAGUAGAGGCAAGUGGAAUUGCGAGUGUAGAGGUGAAAUUCGUAGAUAUUCGCAGGAACACCAGUGGCGAAGGCGACUUGCUGGACUUAUGGUGACGCUGAGACGCGAAAGCGUGGGGAGCAAACAGGAUUAGAUACCCCUGUAGUCCCUGAGCGGGCUGGCAAGGCGCAU
rnacentral:rRNA from 1 species